UACAGACCAAGUUAUUAAGAGCUAUUGGUGGAUGCCUUGGCAUUGACAGGCGAUGAAGGAUGCGUUUACCUGCAGUAAUCUUCGGCGAGCUGGUAUAAAGCUAUGACCCGGAGGUCUCCGAAUGGGGCAACCCGGUAGAUUAAUCAUCUACCAUUAUACGUUGAAUACAUAGGCGUAUAAGGCGACACCUGCUGAACUGAAACAUCUUAGUAAGCAGAGGAAAAUAAAUCAAAGAGAUUCCCUAAGUAGCGGCGAGCGAAAAGGGAGAAGACCAAACCACAUUUUUAAUGUGGGGUUGUAGGGUCGAUAACAUGGGAUCUUAAGUUUUAGUUGAAUACUUCUGGAAAGCAGAACGAUACAGGGUGAUAGUCCCGUAGACGAAAAAACAAGAGACUCUAUUCGAUACCUGAGUAGGGCUAGACACGUGAAACCUAGUCUGAAUCUGGGGAGACCACUCUCCAAGUCUAAAUACUAGUCAAUGACCUAUAGUGAACCAGUACUGUGAAGGAAAGGUGAAAAGAACCCUUGUUAAGGGAGUGAAAUAGAACCUGAAACCAGUAGCUUAUAAGCGGUCGAAGACCUAUAACUUCUUAGGAAGUCAUGGUUGACGGCGUGCCUUUU
rnacentral:rRNA from 1 species